AGCGAACGCUGGCGGCAUGCCUAACACAUGCAAGUCGAACGAGACCUUCGGGUCUAGUGGCGCACGGGUGCGUAACGCGUGGGAAUCUGCCCUUGGGUUCGGAAUAACUCACCGAAAGGUGUGCUAAUACCGGAUGAUGUCGAAAGACCAAAGAUUUAUCGCCCAGGGAUGAGCCCGCGUAGGAUUAGCUAGUUGGUGAGGUAAAGGCUCACCAAGGCGACGAUCCUUAGCUGGUCUGAGAGGAUGAUCAGCCACACUGGGACUGAGACACGGCCCAGACUCCUACGGGAGGCAGCAGUGGGGAAUAUUGGACAAUGGGCGAAAGCCUGAUCCAGCAAUGCCGCGUGAGUGAUGAAGGCCUUAGGGUUGUAAAGCUCUUUUACCCGGGAUGAUAAUGACAGUACC
rnacentral:rRNA from 1 species